AUUGAACGCUGGCGGCAUGCCUUACACAUGCAAGUCGAACGGCAGCACGGGAGCAAUCCUGGUGGCGAGUGGCGAACGGGUGAGUAAUAUAUCGGAACGUGCCCAGUCGUGGGGGAUAACGUAGCGAAAGCUACGCUAAUACCGCAUACGAUCUAUGGAUGAAAGCGGGGGAUCGCAAGACCUCGCGCGAUUGGAGCGGCCGAUAUCAGAUUAGGUAGUUGGCGGGGUAAAGGCCCACCAAGCCAACGAUCUGUAGCUGGUCUGAGAGGACGACCAGCCACACUGGAACUGAGACACGGUCCAGACUCCUACGGGAGGAAGCAGUGGGGAAUUUUGGACAAUGGGCGAAAGCCUGAUCCAGCCAUUCCGCGUGCAGGAUGAAGGCCCUCGGGUUGUAAACUGCUUUUGUACAGAACGAAAAGGUUUCUACUAAUACUAGGAGCUCAUGACGGUACUGUAAGAAUAAGCACCGGCUAACUACGUGCCAGCCGCCGCUGUAA
rnacentral:rRNA from 1 species